rnacentral:lncRNA from 1 species
CCAUGCUUACUCCCUUUCCUGAUCACUGUCCCUUAGUUCAGGUCCUGAAUAAUGCAGCCAGAAGGAGAAAAGGUUACAUUGCAAUGAUUGUCUACAAGCUGUCCAACUGAAAGAAGGUUAGUGGACAAUUGUGGAACAAGAUAAACAUCAGAAACAUUAAAGUUUUUGGAUUGAAUUCUAUCCAUUGCCAUAAUAGGCAAAUUUUUUCCAUCAGCAAUGUGAACUUUAGAUUGACCAUGGUAAGGAGAUAUUGAACAAAGGGUUUGUGAAGAGGAUGUCAUAUGAUUGGAGGUUCCAGAAUCUAACAACCAAGGCCUAGAAGUACUUUUACCUGAAAUUUCCAUGGC